rnacentral:rRNA from 1 species
UACGUAGGUGGCAAGCGUUGUCCGGAAUUAUUGGGCGUAAAGAGCUCGUAGGCGGUUUGUCACGUCUGCUGUGAAAUCCCGAGGCUCAACCUCGGGCCUGCAGUGGGUACGGGCAGACUGGAGUGCGGUAGGGGAGAAUGGAAUUCCUGGUGUAGCGGUGAAAUGCGCAGAUAUCAGGAGGAACACCGGUGGCGAAGGCGGGUCUCUGGGCCGUUACUGACGCUGAGGAGCGAAAGCGUGGGGAGCAAACAGG